GUAGGGUGCGAGCGUUAUCCGGAAUUAUUGGGCGCAAAGAGCUCGUAGGCGGUUUGUCGCGUCUGUCGUGAAAGUCCGGGGCUUAACCCCGGAUCUGCGGUGGGUACGGGCAGACUAGAGUGCAGUAGGGGAGACUGGAAUUCCUGGUGUAGCGGUGGAAUGCGCAGAUAUCAGGAGGAACACCGAUGGCGAAGGCAGGUCUCUGGGCUGUAACUGACGCUGAGGAGCGAAAGCAUGGGGAGCGAACAGGAUUAGAUACCCUGGUAGUCCAUGCCGUAAACGUUGGGCACUAGGCGUGGGGACCAUUCCACGGUUUCCGCGCCGCAGCUAACGCAUUAAGUGCCCCGCCUGGGGAGUACGGCCGCAAGGCUA
rnacentral:rRNA from 1 species